rnacentral:rRNA from 1 species
UACGGAGGGUGCAAACGUUGCUCGGAAUCAUUGGGCGUAAAGCGCACGUAGGCGGCCCGCUAAGUCGGAUGUGAAAACCUGGGGCUCAACCCCGGGCCUGCAGCCGAUACGGGCAAGCUAGAAUUCGGUAGGGGAGAUUGGAAUUCCUGGUGUAGCGGUGGAAUGCGCAGAUAUCAGGAAGAACACCCGUGGCGAAGGCGCUCUCUGGAACGCAACUGACGCUGAGACGCGAAAGCGUGGGGAGCAAACAGG